AAACCAACCGGGAUUUGCCUCAGUAACGGCGAGUGAAGCGGCAAAAGCUCAAAUUUGAAAUCCUUCGGGAGUUGUAAUUUGUAGAGGGGUGUCUUUGGGGCGGCAUUGUCUAUGUUCCUUGGAACAGGACGUCACAGAGGGUGAGAAUCCCGUGCGAUGAUGCCUCAACCAGUACAAGACCCUCUCGACGAGUCGAGUGUUUGGGAAUGCAGCUCUAAGUGGGUGGUAAAUUCCAUCUAAAGCUAAAUACUGGCGAGAGACCGAUAGCGAACAAGUACAGUGAUGGAAAGAUGAAAAGCACUUUGAAAAGAGAGUGAAACAGUACGUGAAAUUGUUGAAAGGGAAGGGUAGGAGGUGAGGGGAAGAGCUGCUUAGGCGCGGGAGAUAAAAAGCAGGAAGCGCUUCGGUGCGGCCUGGUAAAUAUCCCGUGCUUGUGUGGUUCUUCCGUAAUCCCCUUCUACCGCG
rnacentral:rRNA from 1 species